GUGAAUCAUCGAAUUUUUGAACGCAAAUUGCACUCUCUGGUAUUCCGGAGAGUAUGCCUGUUUGAGGGUCAGUUUAAAUAAAAAUCGGUGUGGUUGCUGCCUUUCGUGGACGCACCGGAUUUGGGUCGUCUUGCCUUCGGUUAAGUGACCUAAAAUUUUGCAUGAUUUUUUUGAACGGUAUUUAAAUGAUUUUCGGAACGUUUCCGAUACUGAAUA
rnacentral:misc_RNA from 1 species